UCAAGGCUGCAAUAAUAUUUUUAAUUAAUCAAGGAAUCUAGUGUUAUAGGGAAAAGGCAGUAAAGUGGAGUUUAGGAUAAUCCGUUCAACCACCAAUGAUUGGUAAAACAUACUUGGUGAUCUGCAUGGAAUACUUCUGCUCCUAGGUCAUAUGGUCUAUCUGAAUAGUCUUAUCUUCAAAUAGAUGAUGUAUUGUUUCACCAAUCCUCAUUUAUGAUCUGUACAUUUGAGUCUGAGAAGAAUGUUACAUGGUGAGAACAGAGCUUGUCAAGACUUGACUGAAAAAUACACAAAGCUGAAGUCUUCACAUGAUGUGGAAUAAAAGAAUUGGCACGAAUGUGAAAUCACUAUCAAGCCCUGCCAUCUGCGAAGAUCGAAAUCUCACAAGAGAAGAAAACUGAAGAGAAGUUAUAUUGUUUGAAAAAAAAUCAAACCUCACAUGGAAUAGUUUACAUGGAGCAGAAAUGUUACCCAAAACGUAGGGGAAGAUGAAUCCACAGUUACAAAACAACCGGACAAGCAUUAGUUUCCCCAUUAUAUCAACCCUCUUGAAAAUUACCAUGAAUGUUGAAAAGUGAAAAGACCAUGGCUGGAGAAAAAUCCUGAAAUAGCAUGAUCCUGGAACCCUUGUGCAUCAUGGCCUGGGGAUCCUUCCCCUGGACUCUGGAGGCUUCCAGGAGCAUCUGCUUCUGCAGUACAACCAAGAGCGACUCCGACCUGGACCUGGAUUCUUUGAUGAAGAUGUUGAUCUUUUCCUGCAGCUUGUUGAUCAUGGAGAUCAGGCUCGCCUCUGCAGGUGGCAGAAGUUGUACAAGAAGUUUUGGUCAUGAUUCCAACCACACAUUCCUAAACACAAGCACAAUGAUGCUCUGGACCUUUGACUAGCAGUUACACAAUGUACAGUUGGUAUUUCUAAACUGAGAUUUCACUGUUUAGAUUUCAUAGGAGCAGAUUGUAAUGUGUAUCCUCUGCAAAAUGACAUAAUUGAAUGACAUUAUUGUUGACCUACCAAGGAGCAACAAUUAAAGCAAAUGGCAUUAGUGUGCUGGAGCAUGAUCAGGGAGUGACCAGGGAUGCAAGUAAUGUAAUAAUUUGUAAUCAACUCUUGUAAGAAUGAUUGGGCCCUACUGUUGCAUAUUCAAAUGUAGUGCAUGGUAAUGUGUUCAGUUAGAGGUUACAUUAUCUUAUUUAGCUGUCGCUCCUGGAGAGAAAAUGACUAUCUGUGGGCAGAGGUUAUCAGGAACAAGUUCAGCUGCCUGACAGGGGUGUUGUUUGUAUGAGGGCUUCGAGCAACAAAAGGUCUAGUGUGAGAUUCGAUUGCAGACAAAUAGUUCCAACAAAUUUGUUGGAAAAAAAUGAUACUAAGAUUAUUAUUCAAACUAUAAAUCUCUAAAUAUUUCCAUCAAAUAUUUGUGACAACUGCAGCAAAAUUAAAUCAAUUAUCCCACCGUUUAUAUAGAGAUGUGACAAUUCGUUUCAUUUUGUCUGUACUAUCUAUCCUGUUUGAUGAGUGCAAGAUGAUCUUGUUUUUCAGUUACCACCCUCUGUCAGAUCACCCUUGAAACAUUUUCCAAGGCUAGAGUAAGCCUUGCGUCACUGAAUGCUCCCCCUGGAUUUACAACCUGCAGUUCACUUCAGGCUUCCUCAUCACUGUCCAACUCCACCUUACUUGCACCAUCACACCCUGACACUCCAGGUUCCAUAUUACAGGAAAUAACAAGGAAAACAGAUAAUUUAUAUGGAGUAAGCUUGUAGUUCACAUACAGUUCAGGAAUUUCUUUGCCUGUCUCUCCCCCUCUCUAUGAGAUCUCUUUCUGAGAAAGACACCAUUCCCUCAGAGAGGGUUUGAUUGACUGUUCAAACUCUCCUGCUCAUCACUCUCCCUCACUGUUGCCACCUGCCGGUGGA